CACACGACUCUCGGCAACGGAUAUCUCGGCUCUCGCAUCGAUGAAGAACGUAGCGAAAUGCGAUACCUGGUGUGAAUUGCAGAAUCCCGCGAACCAUCGAGUCUUUGAACGCAAGUUGCGCCCGAGGCCAUUCGGCUGAGGGCACGCCUGCCUGGGCGUCACG
rnacentral:rRNA from 9 species